rnacentral:rRNA from 1 species
GACGAACGCUGGCGGCGUGCUUAACACAUGCAAGUCGAGCGGUAAGGCCCUUUCGGGGGUACGACGAGCGGCGAACGGGUGAGUAACACGUGGGUGGACCUCGCCCUCCAGCUCUGGGAGUAAGACCUCGGGAAACCGGGGUACUAAUACCGGAUAUGACUCCAUGACGCAUGUUGUGGGGUGGAAAGCCUUGUGCGGCUGAGGAUGGGCCCGCGGCCUAUCAGCUUGUUGGUGGGGUGAUGGCCUACCAAGGCGACGACGGGUAGCCGGCCUGAGAGGGCGACCGGCC